rnacentral:rRNA from 1 species
UACAGAGGCCUCAAGCGUUGUUCGGAUUCAUUGGGCGUAAAGGGUGCGUAGGUGGCGCCGUAAGUCAGGUGUGAAAUCUCGGGGCUCAACCCCGAAACUGCACUUGAUACUGCGGUGCUCGAGUACUGGAGAGGAGAUUGGAAUUUACGGUGUAGCAGUGAAAUGCGUAGAUAUCGUAAGGAAGACCAGUGGCGAAGGCGAAUCUCUGGACAGUUACUGACACUGAGGCACGAAGGCCAGGGGAGCAAACGGG